rnacentral:rRNA from 1 species
UACAGAGGUCUCAAGCGUUGUUCGGAUUCAUUGGGCGUAAAGGGUGCGUAGGCGGCGCGGUAAGUCGGGUGUGAAAUCUCGGGGCUUAACUCCGAAACUGCAUUCGAUACUGCCGUGCUUGAGGACUGGAGAGGAGACUGGAAUUUACGAUGUAGCGGUGAAAUGCGUAGAUAUCGUAAGGAAGACCAGUGGCGAAGGCGGGUCUCUGGACAGUUCCUGACGCUGAGGCACGAAGGUCAGGGGAGCAAACGGG